AAGUCGUAACAAGGUUUCCGUAGGUGAACCUGCGGAAGGAUCAUUAAAGAAUCGCCCCGUUUUUUGAAAUGGGUUCUAUUCCCAAACCGUGUAUACAUACCUUUGUUGCUUUGGCAGGCCGCCUUCUAGGCGUCGGCUCCGGCUGACUGCGCCUGCCAGAGGACCCAAACUCGUUUGUUUAGUGAUGUCUGAGUACUAUAUAAUAGUUAAAACUUUCAACAACGGAUCUCUUGGUUCUGGCAUCGAUGAAGAACGCAGCGAAAUGCGAUAAGUAAUGUGAAUUGCAGAAUUCAGUGAAUCAUCGAAUCUUUGAACGCACAUUGCGCCCCUUGGUAUUCCGAGGGGCAUGCCUGUUCGAGCGUCAUUAUAACCACUCAAGCCUCGGCUUGGUCUUGGGGUUCGCGGUCUCGCGGCCCUUAAAAUCAGUGGCGGUGCCGUCUGGCUCUAAGCGUAGUAAUUUUCUCGCUAUAGGGUCCAGGUGACCACCUGCCAGAACCCCCCAUUCUUUACGGUUGACCUCGGAUCAGGUAGGGAUACCCGCUGAACUUAA
rnacentral:rRNA from 1 species